UCCGGUUUGUCACCGGCAGUCUCCCAUGAGUCCCCAACUUAAUGCUGGCAACAUAGGACAGGGGUUGCGCUCGUUAUAGGACUUGACCAAACAUCUCACGACACGAGCUGACGACAGCCAUGCAGCACCUUCCAUCGCGCCCCGAAGGGACCCUCCCUUUCGGGAGGUAGCACGAUGAAUUUAGCCCAGGUAAGGUUCCUCGCGUUGCAUCGAAUUAAGCCACAUGCUCCACCGCUUGUGCGGGCCCCCGUCAAUUCCUUUGAGUUUCAGCCUUGCGGCCGUACUCCCCAGGCGGGGCACUUAAUGCGUUAGCUGCGACACCGAGUGCGUCUACACACCCGGCAUCUAGUGCCCAGCGUUUACGGCGUGGACUAC
rnacentral:misc_RNA from 1 species